AGUGGGCAGCUGGGGCGAGAUGUCCCCAGCUGGGGAUGUUUGUGUCUGAGUCCCUGCCCUGCGUGCCUCAGGUGCGGCCAUUCUGCAGGAAACCUGGCGGGGCUGGGACAGGGCUGCACCUCUUGGCCUCGGUGCGGAUGCAGGCUGUCAGCGGGGAGACGCGCAAGUACAUGGAGGAAUCUCAGAGCUCCGUCUGAAGGAUUUGGCAGUGGUUUAGGUGCCUGCGGGGGAGAGGAGACAAUAAGAGCGUUUGUUGGGCGGCUCAUCCAGCGAAACGUGCGGCUCUGCAGCUGGGUGCCGUGGCUGCUGUGGGAGGCCCGGCUGAAGCUGAGGCAGGAGAACCCCAGCAGGGCCUGCUUGUCUGAGGGAACAAAGUUUGUCAUCCUGAGACACCAGACCUUUGACGAGACUCAGGUAACCUCUGACAGCACGUACAGUGCUGACAAAGAGUCCCUGUCAGCCUUUGUGGAAGACUUUGAGACUUCAGUCAGCAUUGACUUUCUAGAAGACGAAGAGCGUGUUGGCGAAGUGCUAGACUGUGGUUCUUCGGAUCUAUCGGAUCGUGGAGGAACAGAAGAAGCUCAGCAUGAAGAUGAAAAGAUGACAGAAGCAGCAGCAUCCCAGAAGUUGUGAUCACACAGGCAGAUGAGAGAUGCUUGCGUCUAUUGUCUCUAUUCAAAGGAGCAACGUUGUCUUUGUUGUGCUGCUCUUCCUUCAGAUAUUUUUUUCUUCUACAAGGGUGCAAAAGGAAGGGGCGGUUGACCCAAAUACAGUCCUAUCUCCUAAUUUUGCCAAGAUCAAAGGCAUUUCUAGCGUUUUAUGUGCUGCCUGUUGGUGAAGUCUAAAAGCGGUGUACUUAGGCAUUUCUCCACUUCCCAGACACACACGCAGCCAGCCCAGAACUAGGCUCUUACAUCGCUUCGUUUUGCCAGCCCGUUCUCCACGUGUUACACCCAUGUGUGUUGUGGAUGCCCUGUGCCAUGCUCAAAAACGUGUGCCUGGGGUGCCCAGCUCUGCCUUGUCAACUGGGUGUGUAGUUCUGCUGAGCGUGUGCACGUGCAAAUGGAUAACUGCAAUGGUGUGUGUUUGGUUUGGUGUUAAUACAAAGGAGAAAUGGAAAUUGGCCUGGCACUUUUAAGACAAAUAUUGGAAAAAAAUGUAGCUGCCUACUUUUUCCCCACUGAGAUUACGGCCCGUGUGCUCACGAGGCAGCAAGAGUUUCUGGUGGAUUUGGUUGGAUUUCUGGAUGCCAGCCAGCUGACUGAAAGAAGUGCUUCUCUCAAAUAAGGGAAACAAAAGCUCAGGUAGGAUUGGCAGCAGCCACCGGUCUAUCUGAAGCUUCCUCAGCUGUACAUGUGUG
rnacentral:lncRNA from 1 species